AUGUGGUCCUCCGUGUUACAGGUGCUUCGUACGGUUGAUGAACAUGGACGUGGGCCAUCUCAAGUAGUGGGUUUGAUUGAAAAACUGGAGAGCUUUAAAUUUGCUUUCAUUCUAAAGCUUAUGUUGAAGUUGUUUGGUGUCACUAAUGAGUUCUCAAAAGUCCUGCAAAGAAAAGAUCUUAAUAUUGUGCUUGCCAUGGAAUUAGUGGAUGAUAUCAAAGCUCGACUGGCAACAUUAAGAGAGAGUGGUUGGGAUGAUUUAUUUUGUGAUGUUCAAGAAUUUUGUGCUGCUAAUAGUAUUCCAGUGCCAAACAUAGAUGAAGUAAUACCAGUUCAUGGUCAUUCAAGGAGAGCAGGGAGGACUGUCCCUAAUCUUCACCAUUACCGUGCAGAGAUUGUUUAUGUUGCUAUUGACAAAAUAUGGCUAGAGAUGGAUCACCGCUUUAGUGAAGGAGCUAAUGGUGUGCUUGAUUGCUUCUCAUGUCUUGAUCCUAAUAAUUCUUUCUCCAAGUUUAAUGUUGAUAAGCUUGUGCGUCUUGCUGAAAUUUAUCAUGAUGAUUUUUCCAAUGAUGACCGUGGAACAAUAAGAGAGCAACUUAUCACAUAUAUAAGUCAAGUGAAAAGACAUGCUUCUUUUUCUACUUGUGAUGAUGUUAAAAGUUUGGCCAUGAAGAUGGUUGAAACUGAGAAACAUUUGGUAUUUCCAUUGACAAAUUUUUCAGCAAUGAAGAUUAUCAAGACUAAACAGCGUAGUAAGAUCAAUAAUGAAUGGUUCAAUGACUUGAUGAUAUGUUACACCGAGCGGGAAUUAUUCAAGUCAGUUGAUGAUAAGUAUAUUAUUCGAACAUCACUGCAAUGA
rnacentral:rRNA from 1 species